AUACGGAGGGUGCAAGCGUUAAUCGGAAUUACUGGGCGUAAAGCGCACGCAGGCGGUUUGUUAAGUCAGAUGUGAAAUCCCCGGGCUCAACCUGGGAACUGCAUCUGAUACUGGCAAGCUUGAGUCUCGUAGAGGGGGGUAGAAUUCCAGGUGUAGCGGUGAAAUGCGUAGAGAUCUGGAGGAAUACCGGUGGCGAAGGCGGCCCCCGGGACGAAGACUGACGCUCAGGUGCGAAAGCGUGGGGAGCAAAAAGGAUUAGAUACCCUGGUAGUCCACGCCGUAAACGAUGUCGACUUGGAGGUUGUGCCCUUGAGGCGUGGCUUCCGGAGCUAACGCGUUAAGUCGACCGCCUGGGGAGUACGGCCGCAAGGUUAAAACUCAAAUGAAUUGGCGGGG
rnacentral:rRNA from 1 species